rnacentral:rRNA from 1 species
UGGGGAAUAUUGGACAAUGGGCGGAAGCCUGAUCCAGCCAUGCCGCGUGUGUGAAGAAGGCCUUUUGGUUGUAAAGCACUUUAAGCGAGGAGGAGGCUACUUGGAUUAAUACUCUAGGAUAGUGGACGUUACUCGCAGAAUAAGCACCGGCUAACUCUGUGCCAGCAGCCGCGGUAAUACAGAGGGUGCGAGCGUUAAUCGGAUUUACUGGGCGUAAAGCGUGCGUAGGCGGCUUCUUAAGUCGGAUGUGAAAUCCCUGAGCUUAACUUAGGAAUUGCAUUCGAUACUGGGAAGCUAGAGUAUGGGAGAGGAUGGUAGAAUUCCAGGUGUAGCGGUGAAAUGCGUAGAGAUCUGGAGGAAUACCGAUGGCGAAGGCAGCCAUCUGGCCUGAUACUGACGCUGAGGUACGAAAGCAUGGGGAGCAAACAGG